rnacentral:rRNA from 1 species
AGCGAACGCUGGCGGCAGGCCUAACACAUGCAAGUCGAACGGCAGCACAGUAAGUGCUUGCUCUUACGGGUGGCGAGCGGCGGACGGGUGAGGUAGACAUCGGAAUCUACUUUUUCGUGGGGGAUAACGCAGGGAAAUUUACGCUAAUACCGCAUACGACCUACGGGUGUAAGCAGGGGAUCUUUGGACCUUGCGCGAUUGAAUUAGCCGAUGUCGGCUUAGCUAGUUGGCGGGGAAAAGGCCAACCAAGGCGACGAUCCGUAGCUGGUAUGAGAGGACGGUCAGCCACACUGGACGUGAGCCGGGGUCCAGACUCCUACGGGAGGCCACAGUGGGGAAUAGUAGGCAAUGGGGGGGAGCCUGAUCCAGCCAUACCGGGUGAGUGAAGAACGCCCUCGGGUUGUAAAGCCCUUUUGUUGGUAAAGAAAAGCAGCAGGUUAAUACGCCGCUGUUCUGACGGUACCGAAAGAAUAAGCACCGGCUAACUUCGUG